UGUGAUAGAAUGACUUUUGUGUCCCCCCCCCACCCCCAGCUUCUUAUGUUGAAGCCCAAUCCCCGAUAUAAUAGUAUUUGAAGGCAGAGAUUUGGGGAGGCAAAUAGGUCAUGAAGGUGGAGCCCUCAUGAAUGGGAUUAAUGUCGUCAUAAAAGAGACGCCAGAAAGCUCGUUCACCCCCUUCUGCCUUAUGAGGACACGGGGAGAAGAUAGCCAACUGUGAACUAGGAAGCCAGCCCUCACCAGACAGAAAAUCUGUCAGUGCUCUGAUCUUGGACUUCCCAGACUCCAGAACUUGAAGGUUUCUAGGUCCACGUCUUGGAUUCUAAAAUCAGAGAAGCUAAUUCAGAUGUGUGAUGACGAGGACUCUCAUGGAUGGGGUUUGGGGACAUAUAGAAAGAAUGACAACAUUUCCACAGAAUAAGAAAGAGAAAGAGGGAAGACAAACGAAAACACAUCUACUAAACAAAUAUGGCUUUGUUCCAGCACAGCGCAAGUAUAACUUUACCUACAAAAUGAUUUUAAAAUGCACUUGACAAGAGGGUUUAUUAUGUCAUUAAUGUGCUUCCAGGCCUGUUUUAUUUUUGCAGUUGGCAAUUGCCAUAGCAACUUUAGAAGUUCAGAACUUCCUGGUGCUUCCUUUCUGUACAGAGAGUUCUUUCUUGUAUGUACUGAGUAAUGAAUGGCAAAGUGAAGAAAGGAUGAAAUGAAUACAUAAGGGAAUGAAAGAACGACCAAAACAGCAAUAUUCACCUUAUCUGGUUCCUCUGCUGGCACUAGUAAACUACUCAUAAUGUUCUAACGCAUGGUUUCCUAAGGAAAAACUCUAUAAAAGCCUCAAUCACCAGGUGGUGUAAAAUAAAUUUUGAAAUGAU